ensembl:lncRNA
GUCCUCUGCAAGUCAAGGUUGGCAAUGCAUUGCAAAAGCAUCAUAUAAAAUCCAAAAUAUAAAAGUAAAACAACAUCUACACAAUCUGGGAGGGUAGGUUUACUAGAUGUUUUGAAGCUACAAUUACAGUCUGUGUGUGCAAGUUAAUACUGUACAACGCUGCUACUGAAAAACUUUGAAUCUACACAUAUACAAUUGGGAAAAAAGAACAUUGAAAAGCCAAAAUAACAAUUGAGCACAGUCGGAGUUCAAAGGGUUAGAAAGGUAAUUCAUUUCUUAAAGUGAUGUUUCCUCCACAUUGGCAUGGUAAACUGUAGUAUAAUUAACUAAAACAGACUUCUAAGUUCUUAAAACAGUUUAAGCUUAUUUGCAAAGGUAAUGUAGCCUCAUAUUACAAUGAACCAUCUGACCUUACAAAUAGUUACUACAAUCCCAAUUUGGAAAUGUUACCAAUAGUAAAGUUAUGAGUCGUUUUUGGUGAGUAGGUUUAUUCAACAUUUUGUAAUGGCAGUCUAUUGUGAAAGACCAUGCACCAGCAAAAAUUGUCACUUGAAUGAAUGAAUAGUGCAGACAUUUAAUAUUUGUUUCUUUUUUGCAGAACCUAAAACUUGAUACCGUCUUAUAGGACAAAGACUUGUUGUGGGCCAAUAAACAUGACUUGAAGGCUUCCAGUAAUAGUUUCAGAAGCAACACAAAUAUCCUUCACACAUUUUGUAAUACUGAAGUUAAAAUGUUCUAUCCUUUUCACAAUGUUUCAAAGUAUAUUGUCUCAGGAAAUAACCAUCAUGUUAUACCCACGUCUCACACUCUUCUGUCUUGUCCUCUUCAGCAACAUUCAUAUAUAUAUAUAAAAGAAGUGACAUGUCAAGGGACACUUUUGGGGCAAUGGAGGGAGUAAAGAGUUAGCUCUUAUAGCAGUUUUCUUUUACUUCUCCCUCCUUAUCAUCAAAUCUUCAUUAGAAACAAGGUACAUGAAAUAAAAUGGUAAUGUAACUUUUGUUAACAUGAGUAUAUUGAAAGUUGUAAAAAAAAAAAAAAAAUCCAUCCUGUGUAUGGCAUCUGGCACGCUUGGCAGAGCCUUCCCUCAGAAGGUUUGGCAAUUGUUUAACACUUGUGCUUCAUGGCGAGCUGUGGAGUGGGGAGAGAGAGGGAGGGGACGGAAGUUAGGCUUCAUGUCAGUCGUGCUGUAGUGGGCUGUAGGGAUAUACAUAAUACUGGGUACAUUAGGGUAAUACACAUAAAUAACAGCAGUGAACAUUCAAGAUAUAAACAUAUUAUUUAAUUUACAAUUACCAUACUUAGCUAUUGUCUACUGUAUGUUGCCCAGCACUACUUAGGGAUAAAAAAUAAUUCAGAACACAAUAAGCAGCAAACAUGCUUAACACUUGAAAAC